GAUAUCGAUCGUUCAUCCCCACAAACCCGAAUUUCAUCAACAAUCAUCAGGCAUGAGCAUAAUUUGGUGUAAAUCUUUGAUUCUUGCUUCCAAUUUAUGAUUCUCGAGGUAACAUAGUUGGAUUCACACCCAUCUCGCAAAUCCGGAUCGUAUCAUUUUUCUCAAACGUACAAGCUAACUUCUCUCAAACCCUAAAUCCGAAGACGCCAUUCAUCUUCAGCCGUUCAUCAUUGAUUCAAGUUUGAUAAACAAAGAUUUCAAGAUCAAUUCUACAAGGAAUAACACAUGUAAAGACAUUGCAACAUCCGUUACUAAGAAACCCUAAAGGGAGAGAAGCUAUAUUUGUAUAUCAAGAAUAUGUGUUGAUACGGAUUAGGCAGGGAGGAUUAGGAGGUGGUGUUGCCUCAGGGGUUUUGUUGAAAGGGGAUGACAAAAGAAGACGGUAAUGAUUUUGUUUUCUGUUCAUGUGAGGGUGGGGAAUUCUCAGAUCCGCCAUUUAUGGUGGUCUUUUCCCAGCUGGUGGUAUUGUUCAAAUUGUUGUGGUGGCUGGAGGUGGGGCUUGGUUGAAUAAGAGAUAGAUAAAGCACCGAUUACAGAGACCUUGAGCACAAGGGGUUGCACUCCUUGGUGGAUUCCGUUUGUCUUCUACACGCGGAUUCUUUUGAGUCUGGCCCGGUUUAAUUCGAUAAUCUUCGUUGUGACAGUGGGCUGUUCAGAUGGAGCAGCGGCGGUCGCCAAAAAGUGACACCCGACGAUUGAAUACGGAGCAACGUUUCAGGUAUUUAGGGGCUGUGUGGAUGGUUAAAAAGUCCUGAAAGGACAGCGGUAAUGGCUCUCAAAACUAGACAACAAAGUCACACUUUUAGGCGUGAUUUCGAGACAGCAUUGUGAGGUACAAUGCAGCAGUGAGUUGGGAUCUUUUGCAGUCGUUCGAGAGGUGCUUCACGGUCCGAAACUCUCUACAAACAACCACGACAAGUGUUGGGGCGAAUAUGUUUCUGAACUUGAAGAGAGGAAUAAUGAGGUAACUCAGUUACGGGUAAAGGUUGAAAGCUUUACUAUGCAAGAGAAUACAUUGGAUGAAAGAAUGAGGCAGAAAAGGUCUGUUUAGUGGCGUCAUGGUUUAGACAUGGGUUGGAUGGAAUUACGUGGGGUAUGGUGCUGGAAAAGACAGGUAUUAACUCACGAUGAAGCUGUUGAACUGCAGAAAAUGAUGGUUGUUCUGCUGAAUGUAUGCAUGUCUUUAACUAAGGAUCGCUGUUAAUGGGGUCUUCACUCAUCAACCGAUUGAAUAUAAAAAAAAUUAAGUAGAGACGAUGAAUUCAUCAAGUGAAGUCUCUGAAUUUUGCUUGAUCUAUAUUAUCUCAUAUUUACAUUUGUUGUUGUAGUUUGAGUGAGAAUGUUGUGUGUAGAGAUUCUAAGUGAUAUUACAGAAUUAAACUCUCUUACUUUCUAUAGAAUGAUGCCAAUAUGUUAUUGAAUAUUGUAGGAUAGUCGCAGUGGGAACUUAAAGAGGCUUUGAUGUACUAAAACUUAUCCAAAAAUUAAAGGUUUGCAAAGUUUGACUUUUUUCAGGUCAAAAUAGAUAAGUUUCAAAAUCAGUUGACAUGAUAUUUCUUUAAUU
rnacentral:lncRNA from 1 species